ACUCAAAUGAAUUGACGGGGACCCGCACAAGCAGAGGAUGAUGUGGUUUAAUAUGAAGCUACGCGUAGAACCUUACCGAGGUUUGACAUCCCAGGAAGUCAGUCGAAAGACAGAUGUGCCUUUUGGAACCUGGUGACAGGUGCUGCAUGGCCGUCGUCAGCUCGUGUCGUGAGAUGUUGGGUUAAGUCCCGCAACGAGCGCAACCCUUAUUGUAUGUUGUAUUUUUCAUACGAAACUGCCCGGGCCAACCGGGAGGAAGGUGGGGACGACGUCAGGUCGGCAUGGCCCUUACACCUCGGGCCACUCACGUCAUACAAUGGCCGGUACAAUGCGUCUUGCCAACCCGCGAGGGGGAGCUAAUCGCAUCAAAACCGGUCUCAGUUCGGAUAGCAGGCUGCAACUCGCCUGCUUGAAGUCGGAUUUGCUAGUAAACGUGGGUCAGCAUACCACGUUGAAUACGUUCCCGGGUCUUGUACACACCGCCCGU
rnacentral:rRNA from 1 species